GAGGGUGUGGCUCAGUGGUAGAGCUUGUACUUAGCAUGUGUGGGGCCCUGGGUUCCAUCCCCAGCACCAAUA
rnacentral:tRNA from 1 species